rnacentral:rRNA from 1 species
CUGGCGGCGUGCUAACACAUGCAAGUCGAACGCGAAAGGGAACUUCGGUCCUGAGUAAAGUGGCGCACGGGUGAGUAACGCGUAGAUAACCUGUCUUCAUGUCUGGAAUAAUACGCCGAAAGGGGUACUAAUACCGGAUAUUCUUGCUUUUCAUAAGUUAUGCAAGCAAAGGUGGCCUCUGCAUAUGCUACUGCAUGAAGAGGGGUCUGCGUACCAUUAGCUAGUAGGUGGGGUAAUGGCCUACCUAGGCGACGAUGGUUAGCGGGUCUGAGAGGAUGAUCCGCCACACUGGCACUGGAACACGGGCCAGACUCCUACGGGAGGCAGCAGUGAGGAAUAUUGCGCAAUGGGGGAAACCCUGACGCAGCGACGCCGCGUGAAGUGAGGAAGGCCUUCGGGUCGUAAAGCUCUGUCAAGAGGAAAGAAGUGUACAAUGGCUAAUACCUGUUGUAUUUGACGGUACCUCUAAAGGAAGCACCGGCUAACUCCGUGCCAGCCGCUGC